rnacentral:pre_miRNA from 1 species
AAUGGCACUGGUAGAAUUCACGGGGUAUCACUGACCGUGGACUAUCAAUUGCCAUACA